UUGACCUCGGAUCAGGUAGGAAUACCCGCUAACUUAAGCAUAUCAAUAAGCGGAGGAAA
rnacentral:rRNA from 1 species